UAAAUUACAGGUUGUUUACAGCUUUGGCCUUUCUUUUCUCUUUUUUUUUGAGAUUUUCUCUGCAACCACGUGGAUUAGGAACCGACCUUUGGCCUGAAGCUUUGUCAUGAUGCCUGGAGCUGAGGCUGUGUGUUCAGUGACUCCUGAAUCUCCUGAGGCCCAUGCCUGUUCUGUUGGGCUCUGGCUGCAGGAUAGUAAGGACUGACUCAAAGAGAGCGAGGACAUUUCUGAAUUAACAGUACAACACAAACCAGGUGCUGGGAGGACAAGGAGAUGCUGUUUUUACAACAUGGAGCUCAGGAGUGAUUCUUUGAAACUGGGACACCGGGGAUGCCACCACUGCCUCCUGCUCCAGGCAAACCAGGAGUUUUGACUGCACUGCAAACACUCCUGCCACAUGGAAUGGCACAACUUGGGGAGAGAAUCAGCUGUGCAGAGGAUCACAGAUCAAAAAGACUGAGGGACUACACCAAGCUUCAGCAUGCAAACAGAGAGCUGCUUCUCCCGGAGCUGCCUCUCCUUCUCCUGUGACCAGAGGACAUGAGCCAUGAGGCUGUUCCCAGAGGAGGCUCCAUGGAGCACCGAAGCCCUGCUGGAGCAGGCACCUUUGG